GACGAACGCUGGCGGCGUGCCUAAUACAUGCAAGUUGAGCGCUGAAGGUUGGUACUUGUACCAACUGGAUGAGCAGCGAACGGGUGAGUAACGCGUGGGGAAUCUGCCUUUGAGCGGGGGACAACAUUUGGAAACGAAUGCUAAUACCGCAUAAAAACUUUAAACACAAGUUUUAAGCUUGAAAGAUGCAAUUGCAUCACUCAAAGAUGAUCCCGCGUUGUAUUAGCUAGUUGGUGAGGUAAAGGCUCACCAAGGCGAUGAUACAUAGCCGACCUGAGAGGGUGAUCGGCCACAUUGGGACUGAGACACGGCCCAAACUCCUACGGGAGGCAGCAGUAGGGAAUCUUCGGCAAUGGACGAAAGUCUGACCGAGCAACGCCGCGUGAGUGAAGAAGGUUGUCGGAUCGUAAAACUCUGUUGGUAGAGAAGAACGUUGGUGAGAGUGGAAAGCUCAUCAAGUGACGGUAACUACCCAGAAAGGGACGGCUAACUACGUG
rnacentral:rRNA from 1 species